UGGGGAAUCUUGCGCAAUGGGCGAAAGCCUGACGCAGCGACGCCGCGUGAGUGAUGAAGGCCCUCGGGUUGUAAAGCUCUGUGGAGGGGGAAGAAUAAGGGUGACCUAAUACGUCAUCCGAUGACGGUACCCCUUUAGCAAGCACCGGCUAACUCUGUGCCAGCAGCCGCGGUAAGACAGAUGGUGCAAACGUUGUUCGGAAUUACUGGGCGUAAAGCGCGUGUAGGCGGCUUGGCAAGUCGGGUGUGAA
rnacentral:rRNA from 1 species